GUAUCUUCCAGCACUUAAUCUAAAACUGGAGUGAUACAGAGAAGAUUAGCAUGGCCCCUGUGCAAGGAUGACAUGCAAAUUCGUGAAGCAUUCCAUAUUUUU